rnacentral:rRNA from 1 species
CGGAUCGACCUCCCACCCUUUGUGUAUUUACUUCUGUUGCUUCGGCGGCCCCCGCGGCACACGGUUGUGCUUGACACGCCGAGCCCGGCCCGCCAGAGGCCCUUUCAAUUCUGAUAUAUCAGUGAUGUCUGAGCACAAUGCAAAAAUAAAUCAAAACUUUCAACAACGGAUCUCUUGGUUCUGGCAUCGAUGAAGAACGCAGCGAAAUGCGAUAAGUAAUGUGAAUUGCAGAAUUCAGUGAAUCAUCGAAUCUUUGAACGCACAUUGCGCCCUCUGGUAUUCCGGGGGGCAUGCCUGUUCGAGCGUCAUUACACCUCUCAAGCUCUGCUUGGUAUUGGGCUUUCGUCCCCCGUGGACGGGCUUGAAAAUCAGUGGCAGUCCAGCCGGUACUCAAGCGCAGUAACAUUAUUUCCCGCUUUGGAGUCGCCGGGUGGACCCGCCAGACAACCGUAAUUGUAUUUCAAUGGUUGACCUCGGAUCAGGUAGGGAUACCCGCUGCCCGUA